rnacentral:lncRNA from 1 species
GUAGAAAUAAAGACUGAUGGAGAAGGGAGGAGAUUAGAGCUGUGUGUUGUAUUUAGAGGAGGGACUCCAUCAUUUAAAAAGACAGAAGUUCCUGGUUUACCAGUGAGGAAGGAAGAGAGGCAGCAGUAAACCAUCAGAGCGUCAGCAUGAAAGUCCAUCACACUUUGAUCUGUUUCUUCUUCCUCUCACUGUGUGGGGGAGACUCCGGGCUCGUCAGUGCAACCACGUUUGCAGGAGCUGUAGGAGGAACUGGUGGAAUUAGUUGCUUCUUGUCUCUGUCUGGAAGCAACAAGUUCUUCUGUAAGGAACAAUGUAAAGCAGAAGAUAUUCUCAUUAAAACAGAUGGCCUCACAGCUCAGAGUGGCAGAUACAGCACUGCAUUCAGAAACACUUCUUCUGAAAGAGGAAUUCUCACUGUGACCAUCACAAAUCUGACCAAGUCCGACUCAGCAUGGUACAGGUGUGGUUUGGGACCAACCGUUGUUCCAUAUUCAUAUGCUGACUUUGAGAUCAGAGUUUUAGAUGCAACGUUGGAUGGAAUCUCUGGUUUUGUCCAUGCAGAUACUGAAGGAGAAACUAUUGUUUAUGGAUGCCACGGUACUGUUUACGGAAAGCAGAAGUUCUUGUGUGACCAAGUCAGACACAGGAUGGUACAAGUGUGGUUACGGCAGAGCUUUGUCUCCAGAUUCAUACAGGAUGUACCCGGUCCUUGUCAUUGAUGGACUCUUUGACCUUCAAACAUCAUCGCCAUCAGCCUCCACACCAACAACAACAUCAACAACAACACCAACAACGACAACAAAGUCGACAG